CAGGAAAGGAAACGAGAAAAAGAAAUGGACCAGGAGAGGAACACGAGGCAGAGGGAGAAAGAUCAAUUACGAAAAAUUACAGGCCAACAAAGCAGAAGAAGAUAAGGCUGAAGCUGUUGCUGAAGCAGAGACUAAAGUUGAGGCUGAAGUAGAUGCUAAAGAUGAGGUUGAAGCUGAGGCUGACCCUGAAGAAAGAAAGCCAGAAGGUGCUGAAACAGAGAACAGCACAUUCCUGGUAAACGGCAAUAAGACGGAGAAGACUGUUGAAAACAGUGGGAAUGGAAAUGAGAAAAAGAAAAGGACCAGGAGAGGGACACGAGGAAAAGGAAGGAAGAUAAAUUACAAAAAGUUCCAGGCCAACAAAGAAG